UGCAUAAAUCAAGCGUUUAAGGGCGUGUGGCGGAUGCCUUGGCACUAAAAGACGAUGAAGGACGUGGUAUACUGCGAAAAGUUUCGGGGAACUGUAUGCAAGUUUUGAUCCGAAAAUUUCCGAAUGGGGAAACCCUACACUUUAUGUGUAACUUUAAAUUGAAUACAUAGAUUUAAAGAGAUAACCUGGAGAACUGAAACAUCUAAGUAACCAGAGGAAAAGAAAUCAAUUGAGAUUCCGUUAGUAGUGGCGAGCGAAAGCGGAAUAGGCCAGUAAUAAAUUUAAGAAAAUUUGAAUAGUAUGGAAAUGCUAACCAAAGAUGGUGAUAGUCCAGUAGAAGUAAUGCUUAAAUUUGUUCUUGAGUAAAGCGGGACACGUGAAAUCUUGCUCGAAUAUAGGGGGACCACCCUCUAAGCCUAAAUACUCUUUAGUGACCGCUAGUGAACUAGUACCGUGAGGGAAAGGUGAAAAGAACCCCUAUUAGGGGAGUGAAAUAGAACCUGAAACCGCAUGGCUACAAUCAGUCGAAGCUCUUUUUAGAGUGACGGCGUACCUUUUGUAUAAUGGGUCAGUGACUUAAUUUAUUAAGCGAGCUUAAGCCAUCUAGGUGUAGGCGUAGCGAAAGCAAGUCUUAAUAGGGCGAUUAGUUUAAUGAAUUAGACCCGAAAACGAAUGAGCUUACCAUGAGCAGGUUGAAUGCAAGGUAACACUUGCUGGAGGACCGAACCAGUUGACGUUGAAAAGUCUUUGGAUGACUUGUGGUAAGGGGUGAAAGGCCAACCAAAUUCGUAGAUAGCUGGUUUUCCGCGAAAACUAUUUAGGUAGUGCGAUGGAUAAAUAUAUAUUUAGAGGUAGAGCACUAAAUGGGCUAGGGGGAAGAGAUUCUUACCAAACCUAAUAAAACUCCGAAUGCUAAAUAUAGUUCUCCAUCAGACAGACUGUGGGUGCUAAGGUCCAUGGUCGAGAGGGAAAAAGCCCAGACCACCAGAUAAGGUCCCCAAAUUAUGAUUAAGUGUGAAAGGAUGUGGAAAUUCCUUAACAGCCGGGAGGUUGGCUUAGAAGCAGCCAUCCUUUAAAGAUAGCGUAACAGCUCACCGGUCUAAUAGAGUUUCUGCGCCGAAGAUGUAACGGGGCUAAAAUCAUAUACCGAAUCUGUGGGUUUAUAAAAUUUUCGAAUUUUAUAAGCGGUAGCGACGUUCUGUAAGCCUGUAAAGGAGUACCCGUGAGGGACUCUGGAGGUAUCAGAAGUGCGAAUGCUGACAUAAGUAACGAUAAAUAAAGUGAAAAACUUUAUCGCCGAAAAUCCAAGGGUUUCUGCGCAAGGUUAAUCCGCGCAGAGUUAGUCGGCCCCUAAGGCGAGGGCGAAAGCCGUAGUCGAUGGAAAUAAGGUUAAUAUUCCUUAACCAAGUGGUAGUGACGGAUUUUGUAAGUUGUGAGUUCUUAAUGGAUUGAGCUUUCUGCGAAAAAGUCCCAGGAAAUAGCUCCACUAUUAGACCGUACCCUAAACCGACACAGGUGGAUUAAUAGAGUAUAUUUAGGCGCUUGAGGGAAUGAUGUUGAAGGAACUCGGCAAAAUGCUUCCGUAACUUCGGGAUAAGGAAGACCUGUUUUUAGGCAACUAGAGAUGGGUGGCACAAGCCAGGGAGAAGCGACUGUUUAUCAAAAACACAGGGCUCUGCUAACACGUAAGUGGAUGUAUAGGGUCUGACGCCUGCCCGGUGCUGGAAGGUUAAUGCGGUUGGUGCAAGCUAACUUCUGAAGCCCCAGUAAACGGCGGCCGUAACUAUAACGGUCCUAAGGUA
rnacentral:rRNA from 1 species